UUCGGGAUUGGUCAAGUAUGGUACAACAACUUUCAACCUGUGACAGAGGAUGUAGAAUAUAAGAAAAUAAAUAAAGCUUAAUCUACCUAUCAUCUAUGAAAAUAAUUCAAAGAAAUUUAAUCUUCAUAAUUUAAAAAUUCAUAUUAGUGUGUGUGUGUAAUAACUGCAACAUAGAUUAGUUAACACAAUUAACUUGUGAUGGAGGCAGAAGAAAUAAUUGGAAUAUAGAUUGGGAGCAGGAGAAACAACAUUUAAUUCUUAAAUUUAAAGGAAAACUAAUGAAAAGGGUUUGAAAACUUUGAGUUUUAAUGAUAAGGACAAAAUAAAGGGUAAAGUGAAUAGUAUCAGGAUUGACUUUUUAGUGUAAAAAUGUGGUUUUUCGUUAAAGUGAACAGUACCGGGUGCUUUUCGUUAAAGUUCCCUAAAUUUAAUCCUAAAAUGGUUUUCUGUUCUUAUCCCAUCUCAUGCAUAUCACCCCAUGGGUGGAAAACUAUAUGUCCUUGCUCAACCUGCAUGCCCAUCCGGUGAAGGACCUUCGUCUGAAUCGUUCAAAAAAGGCGACUUGGAGGUGGCUCAUUGGUGCACAUUAAACAACUGUGAUGAAGUCUCGUCAUUCCACUAAUAGCAUAGGGCAUUAAUGAAGGCCUGAUAUCCUUCAAAUUGGGUUAAAAUGCACAGACAAUCAUUUUCGCAUUGGAUUUCCCGAGUUUGAUUUUAUUUUAAAACUACAGCUUUAUCCAAACUCACCUGUAUGAUCAAGGUCUUACAAAUAUUCUCAACCUUCAUGACAGGGCCGUCUCUUAGAUUUUGGACGUCCUGUGCAAAAUAUAUAAAUGGGCCCCUUCUCAAGAUAGUUUUCCAAAUAAAGUAGGACAAUGUAUUAAUGCUCAAAAGCAAUAACUUAAAUAGUUUUCCAAAAAAAAGUAGGACAAUGUAUUAAUGCUAUAAAGCAAUAACUUAAAUCAAAACAAAGUUUCAAUAACUUAAAUCAAAACAAAGUUUAGGACUCACUAAUUCUAAGUUUACAAAUGUCAUUAAAUAAGUAAAAGAGUUACAAACAUAAAUAAUCAAAACAAAUUCAAUCUUAAACAACCAAACAAGAAAAAAAAACUUCAAACUCUAAUUUUAAUUUUGCACUUGAAUAUAUAGCAUUAUUAUAUAUUGGCACUCCAAAUAUAUUAUUGUGUACUCCAAAUUUUUAUAUUUAGAAAAAAAAAAAAAAACAAAAACAAAAACACUUAUAAGAAUUGCAGAUUGUGAUUUUAAAGUGCUAAUAAAGCAAUUUUUUAAUAUAUCAAGGGUAUUGUGCAAUUGCAUCUUUUGAUCCCCCUCUAAAGCUGCCUAUUCUUCAUGAUGUAAUCAAAUAGCGAAGAGCAGUGUUUUUUGGCAUAUUCAUCGACAAAAUUGAGAAGUCAUAGCAGAGGAUGACGAAAUAUGGUGUCUAAGUUUGACAAUUUUUUUCAUUAGGAAAAUGAUUUCUGCAUACCAUGCAUUUUACUUCUCAUGAACACUUCUGACCUUCAAAUCGAUUGAAACAAAUAAAAUUGCCGUGUAGAAAAGGAGAAUUAGGUUGUGUGGAAAUCAUUUCUUUUGUUAUGACAAUGGAGAAGUCAUUCCAGUCCAAUUUUUUUUCAGGUUUCCUAAAUAAAACUACAAAAUGCUUCUAAAACGGAAAGACAUUCACCUCUCACCUAGCUAGCUUGCUCCCUUCUGCAAGUCCUGAUGAAAUUUCUUUUUGUGAGUCAUUUAUUGAUUUAUGUUGUAGCACUUUAUUUCAAUUUUUUACUAUAACAUGAUUGAUUGCUACCUUAUAAAAUCAUCCUAACAAUAACUCAGCCUUUCAUUACCAAGUCACUGAAAUAUUUUUAAUUUGUCAAAUAUGGCUGCUAGAAUUUGAGUAAUAUAUAGUUUUUAUUUUUAGUAUUGGUGUGUCCACAAAAAUAAAAAAGGAUUGCUACUAGAAACCUUAAUGAUAAAUCACGAGCAGGUGGUCCAAUGGUAAGGGCGGAUAGCGAGACUUCCUUCAAACUAAAAACUGGAGGUCUCAAAUUUGAAACCCGUUGCUAGUGUGGAAGCCAGACUUGUUGCCAGGAGGAGGCUGAAAUGCCUCUGUUAGUCUUCUCGGGCCCUGAAAGGAGUGGAUAACCGUGGCUUGCCACCAGUUAUCCCCCUUUAUAAAAAAAAAAAAUGGGAGAAAAAAAAAACCUUAAUGAUAAAGUUUUACGUAGCCUCCAAGGACUAAGGAUAGUUUGAAGAAUAUUGUGGAUGCAAAUUUCCGUCGUCUUCAGUCUUGACGAAAAUGCAUCUACAAAACAAUUAACGCUUUUGAUCAAAGACCUAAGCCUCGCGCCCACGAGGUGCGAAGGGGGGGGGUUAGGUCAACGGAUCUCUGAUGCCUAAGUUAGUUUCUCUCAGAGAGUAAAGUGUUUUGAGGUUUUUUAGGGUUGUCAAAAGCUCUAAGAAAUUGGUAGAAUAUGGAGCAUUUAUAGGGCUAGGGCCGGCCAUUUAGGGUUUUAAUGGAGAAAAUAUUCUCUAAAUAUUCCCAAGAUAUUUAAUAGGAGAUAAUAUCUUGUGAUAAUAGGGUAAUAAUCCUUAAUUGGUUUAAAUUAGGAUUACUUACUUGAUUGGAGUCAAUCUUCAAUUUGGAAUGUAUUAAAGAUAGGAUUUGGGUAAUUAAUCCUUAUCUUUAAUUCCUUGCCAUGGGCAGGUGAGCUGUGGGCAGUUGUGUUCAGCUACUGAGUCCUCCAGGGAUGUGAGUUGUGCGUGGGAGAAUCUAAGAAGUCUGCCCAUUUAUUAAGGGCAAUCUUGUCCUUCUUGAAUAAAAGUUCACGUGUUGCCACUAGAAUUUUUUGGGAUUAUUUUUUGCUCCACAAAUGCCCCCACACCUAUUGUGUUGCACGCAUGGAUAGGGAAGUAGGUGUAGAAAUCUCAAGCUGCUUGGGUUUGUAGAGUUGUUGCCCAAUUUGAACUUGAUCUUCUUCCUUGAUUGGGAGAUAGACUUCUUCUAGGAAAAGGAAAAUAAUUGCCCCCAAUACCUAUUUAAUUAUGCCUUAAGCAGGGGAUUAAAUAAAUUUCGAGAACAAUCAUUAUUCCAACAAGAAAGAGAAGCCGGAGGAUAUUUUUUCUUCCCCCUCCCCUAGCGUUCUUCUUUUCUUGCCCUUGCGAAGAGUCGUUUCUCGUUGUCCUUCUUCUCCAUGCUGCACCAAGGUAAGAAAAAUUUGAAUUUUUUCUUCUUGAAUUUUUGGGAGCCUUGGGGGCUUGAAAGAUUGGCUUGGAAGAUGCCAAGGAUGCAUGAAUGGCGUGGCAGGGAGGCCACGGGCUACAGGAGGUGCAGCAAGGGUCUUGAUUGUCUUGCAGGUGCAUUUUCAUCAAGACUCAAGACGGCGGAAAUUUGCAUCCACAAAUAUGUGUUAGAGUAAAAUUGGAAAUUUUAACAAAACGUUUAAGUAUGUCUUAGAAUAGUACAUAUUUUUGGUUGCAUUAUUUUAGUUUAAGUUUGUCUCUUAUUGUCUCACGGUCACAAAAACUAUCAAGCAUCUCAGAGACACUCACUCAAAUAAGUUUGUCGUGCAUAUAGAUUUUUUUUUUGGAAUAAUUGAAAGUAUAAAAGAAGCGGCCCAGUUUCGUUGUUGUGGAUAAUGAAACCAGGUGUUAGUGUUGGUUAAUUGAUGUUUUUUCUUCUUCUAAAAACCUGAGUCAUGGCCACUUAGUACAAUGGUCUAGUGGUAUUUCUCUUUACUUGUAAGUGAGAGGUCUUAGGUUCGAUUGUCGCCAAAGGCGAACUUGAACCACCUUAAUGUUAUCCCAUUAGAAGGCUAAGUCAUCCCCCUCAUCAUUGGUGUAGAUAAUACCGUUUGUUAAAAAAACUGGGUCAUGCAUAUUUUUAUGUGACUUAGUCUUUAUGUUGUGCAUGUAAAAGGAGACUUUAAUUUCAGGGGUACUUUUAUUUAGGUCUAAAAAAUUUAAGUUGUUAUUGGAUUUAGUCCAGUGUCCAAUUUUUCUACCUUAAUUAAUUUUUUUAAAUUAGAUUUCUUGAUUUAUUCAUCUUUAUUCAUAUUUUUUGUUG
rnacentral:lncRNA from 1 species